rnacentral:rRNA from 1 species
UACAGAGGGUGCAAGCGUUGUUCGGAAUUAUUGGGCGUAAAGGGCGCGUAGGCGGUCAGCACAAGUCAGUUGUGAAAUCUCCGGGCUUAACUCGGAAAGGUCAACUGAUACUGUGCGACUAGAGUGCAGAAGGGGCAACUGGAAUUCUCGGUGUAGCGGUGAAAUGCGUAGAUAUCGAGAGGAACACCUGCGGCGAAGGCGGGUUGCUGGGCUGACACUGACGCUGAUGCGCGAAAGCCAGGGGAGCGAACGGG